GCCCAUGAGGCCGCACCCCUGCCCUCCGGGCGGCCCCGCCCCACCACCAACCUCUUCACCAAGCUGACCUCCAAACUGACCCGAAGGGUUACCCUCGAUCCCUCUAAACGGCAGAACUCUAACCGCUGUGUCUCGGGCGCCUCUCUGCCCCAGGGAUCCAAAAUCAGGUCACAGACGAACCUGAGAGAAUCGGGGGACCUGAGGUCACAAGUUGCCAUCUACCUUGGGAUAAAGCGGAAACCGCCCCCAGGCUGCUCAGAUUCCCCUGGAGUGUGAAACUGACCAGCUCUCGACCUCCUGAGGCCCUGAUGGCUGCCCUGCGACAGGCCACAGCGGCCGC
rnacentral:lncRNA from 1 species